GCCAAAACUGGAUGCACUGUUACAGUUGGGGUGGUCAGCAAUUCCUCUUUUUUGUGGUCCAUACGUGAAAACUGGGCUCCAUAAUGCACCACUUUUUCAAGGUGCUCCAGAUUCUGAAUUUCUGAAUGAUGUACUUUCACAUCCUUUACAAUAUGUCAUGGGAAAAUGUCUGAAUAAAAAGAAAUUGACACUUACAAAAGAAUACAGCAGCAUUGCAAUAGAGGUGU